AGUAAAGCUCUACUUCAGGGCAGGCGGAGCAGAGGAUGUUUAACAAGCUGUUCCAAAGGGGGAAGAGGUGAAGAGGCUAACCAACAAAACACACACCCACACACACAGCUUGUGCUGCCAGCCACAGCUGAGCAGACCAGGCCAGGCCACUCCAAAUUCUGGAUGGGAGACCUGUGCUGCUCUGCAUAAUGGAGGAAGAAUCUGACAGAAGAGGCCAAGGGGAGAGAAGCUGUCUGGAAAUGCCCCCGCCCCCUUCUCAUUACCUGGCAGCACAAACAGAAGGCCAGAGGACCAUGGCAUAAGAAAACCUCUAAAAAUGGCCCCCGAAGGCCAUCACCUUCAGCCUCACUGUGUGUUUCAGUGAAAGGGCCUGUGUCAGUGUGGAAUAGGAAAGACAAAGAGACGGUGUCAGUUUGCGUUUGUGCCUGCGGAUGCUAAAAUUAGGCCUUGACUGUACUGUCCAGGUGGCUGCACAGUGAGCUAUCAACUGUAACACUUGGUCUCUCUCACUCCUGUCUCUAUAAACAGCCAGCACUCAUGGCUCCCGGUCUCCAAAUAGCACCCACCAAGGACUGUGUGGUAAAUGAUCCUGCUGCAAAGCCAUCAAAGUGGCUUUUAACAUGGAUUUUCGGCACAAAUACACAGGGAGAAGAUGUAUUUUGCACCAGUCUGUCCAUUUACUGACACAAGACUUUUGUUGAUCAGAGAGGCAGAACCAAGUGCCCCCCUCCGCCUCUGGCUGGGGCUCACAGCGCUCCUGCUCAUGUCAUAUUCUGAUACUUGCACAAUUUCCAACAAAGUCUGCUUGUUCCAUAUAUACAGCAAAUUAAUGGUUAUUUCUUACAAGAUAAUGUGAUUCAUAAUGAAGUUUGAUGUUCAAUAUGUGACUGUUUGCAAGAUUCAAUUAAAGUUACAUGCUGUGAAA